UACGUAGGUGGCAAGCGUUGUCCGGAUUUAUUGGGUUUAAAGGGUGCGUAGGCGGCCCUGUAAGUCAGUGCUGAAAUAUCCCGGCUUAACCGGGAGGGUGGCAUUGAUACUGCAGGGCUUGAGUAAAGUUGAGGUUGGCGGAAUUGACGGUGUAGCGGUGAAAUGCUUAGAUAUCGUCAAGAACACCUAUUGCGUAGGCAGCUAACUAAGCUUAACUGACGCUGAGGCACGAAAGUGUGGGGAUCAAACAGG
rnacentral:rRNA from 1 species